rnacentral:pre_miRNA from 1 species
CCCCCACCUAUGUGUGUAGGACCCCAAAGGAUCACCAUUAAAUUUAGCACGGAUCCCUAAAAAAGUUAUCACAUGGGUGUAGGAUUUGACUUUUUUAGAGAUCCGUGACAAAUUUAAUAGUGAUCCUUUGGAGUCCUACACACAUGGGUGGGAG